UGCCAUCUAAAAAUGAAUAAGAAAUGAAAAAUCAUCAACUAUUUGUUUGUAAAUAUCCUCUUACAAACUGUUUUUUUCUCUGACUGUUUAUGGCGUCUUUACAUCAAAUCCCUUGGAUGUUGGAUGUGUACUGAUUGAUGUUUAGACUUAGAUACAUGAUUUUUAUUAUGACUUGUUAUUUGCUUUGAACUAGCUGCCAGUAACUGUGAGUACUCUAAGAUCUGUACUUUAUGUAAUUUUUCUUGUAAGGGAUUAGAGAUUGAUACAUGCCCUGACACGUCCUGUCUGUGUUUUUGUUUGAUUAUGUUUUUAUCGAUCUGAUCCAUAUAUUAGGAGGAUAGAUACGAAGAUGUACCAAUAUUACUUAUCAUCUUAACUUUACAAGUUUAAUUUCAGAGGAUGAUUACACGAACAACCAAUUAGAUAUGGAAGUGAUACAAAAAGGAAUAUAUCGAUAGCAUUAUUUGUUAUGAAAAAGGAACAGCCAAAAAGAAUAUUUCCA
rnacentral:lncRNA from 1 species